rnacentral:rRNA from 2 species
GAUGAACGCUAGCGGGAGGCUUAACACAUGCAAGCCGAGGGGUAUAUUUCUUUCGGGAGAUAGAGACCGGCGCACGGGUGCGUAACGCGUAUGCAACUUGCCCUACUGAAAAGGAUAGCCCUUCGAAAGGAGGAUUAAUACUUUAUAAUAGAAAUCAUGGCAUCAUGAAUUUUUGAAAGAUUUAUCGCAGUAGGAUAGGCAUGCGUAAGAUUAGUUAGUUGGUGAGGUAACGGCUCACCAAGACGAUGAUCUUUAGGGGGCCUGAGAGGGUGAACCCCCACACUGGUACUGAGACACGGACCAGACUCCUACGGGAGGCAGCAGUGAGGAAUAUUGGACAAUGGGUGGAAGCCUGAUCCAGCCAUCCCGCGUGUAGGAUGACGGCCUUAUGGGUUGUAAACUACUUUUAUCUGGGGAUAAACCUACUUACGUGUAAGUAGCUGAAGGUACCAGAAGAAUAAGCACCGGCUAACUCCGUG